UACGAAGGGGGCUAGCGUUGUUCGGAAUUACUGGGCGUAAAGCGCACGUAGGCGGACUACUAAGUCAGGGGUGAAAUCCCGGGGCUCAACCCCGGAACUGCCUUUGAUACUGAGAGUCUCGAGUCCGGAAGAGGUGAGUGGAAUUCCGAGUGUAGAGGUGAAAUUCGUAGAUAUUACGGAGGAACACCAGUGGCGAAGGCGGCUCACUGGCCGGUACUGACGCUGAGGUGCGAAAGCGUGGGAGCA
rnacentral:rRNA from 1 species